rnacentral:rRNA from 1 species
AUACGUAGGGUGCAAGCGUUAUCCGGAAUUAUUGGGCGUAAAGGGCUCGUAGGCGGUUCGUCGCGUCCGGUGUGAAAGUCCAUCGCUUAACGGUGGAUCCGCGCCGGGUACGGGCGGGCUUGAGUGCGGUAGGGGAGACUGGAAUUCCCGGUGUAACGGUGGAAUGUGUAGAUAUCGGGAAGAACACCAAUGGCGAAGGCAGGUCUCUGGGCCGUUACUGACGCUGAGGAGCGAAAGCGUGGGGAGCGAACAGGAUUAGAUACCCUGGUAGUCCACGCCGUAAACGGUGGAUGCUGGAUGUGGGGCCCGUUCCACGGGUUCCGUGUCGGAGCUAACGCGUUAAGCAUCCCGCCUGGGGAGUACGGCCGCAAGGCUAAAACUCAAAGAAAUUGACGGGGGCCCGCACAAGCGGCGGAGCAUGCGGAUUAAUUCGAUGCAACGCGAAGAACCUUACCUGGGCUUGACAUGUUCCCGACGAUCCCAGAGAUGGGGUUUCCCUUCGGGGCGGGUUCACAGGUGGUGCAUGGUCGUCGUCAGCUCGUGUCGUGAGAUGUUGGGUUAAGUCCCGCAACGAGCGCAACCCUCGCCCCGUGUUGCCAGCGGAUUGUGCCGGGAACUCACGGGGGACCGCCGGGGUUAACUCGGAGGAAGGUGGGGAUGACGUCAGAUCAUCAUGCCCCUUACGUCCAGGGCUUCACGCAUGCUACAAUGGCCGGUACAACGGGAUGCGACAGCGCGAGCUGGAGCGGAUCCCUGAAAACCGGUCUCAGUUCGGAUCGCAGUCUGCAACUCGACUGCGUGAAGGCGGAGUCGCUAGUAAUCGCGAAUCAGCAACGUCGCGGUGAAUGCGUUCCCGGGCCUUGUACACACCGCCCGUCAAGUCAUGAAAGUGGGCAGCACCCGAAGCCGGUGGCCUAACCCCUUGUGGGAUGGAGCCGUCUAAGGUGAGGCUCGUGAUUGGGACU